rnacentral:rRNA from 1 species
UACGUAGGGGGCAAGCGUUGUCCGGAUUUAUUGGGCGUAAAGCGCACGCAGGCGGUCUCUUAAGUUUCGAGUGACAGGUGGUGGCUCAACUGCCACAGGCCUUGGAAACUGGGAGACUUGAGGACUUCAGAGGGAUGCGGAAUUCCAGGUGGAGCGGUGAAAUGCGUAGAUAUCGAGAGGAACACCUGCGGCGAAGGCGGUUCUCUGGGCCUUACCUGACGCUGAGACGCGAAAGCGUGGGGAGCGAACAGG